rnacentral:rRNA from 1 species
CCACUAAAUAGCUAGCCUCAUCAAGUAUAACCUAUUAAUGAUUAAAAACUCUCAAUACAUUUGAAUAAAUCAUUUUACCCCAGAGUAUGGGCGACAGAAAAGGAAAAAAGAGCAACAGAUAAAGUACCGCAAGGGAAUGCUGAAAGAGAAAUGAAAUAAAUCAAUUAAGUAUUAAAUAGCAGAGAUUACCCCUCGUACCUUUUGCAUCAUGAUUUAGCAAGUAAAAUGCAAGCAAAGAGACCUUUAGUUUGUAACCCCGAAACUGAGCGAGCUACUCCAGGACAGCCUAUUAUUAGGGCAAACCCGUCUCUGUGGCAAAAGAGUGGGAAGAUCUUUGGGUAGAGGUGACAAACCUACCGAGCACAGUAAUAGCUGGUUGCCUGGGAAUUGAAUAGAAGUUCAGCCCUUUAAGUUUUCCUAACCACACAAGCAACGCUCACACUGGUAAAGAUAGCUAAAGGAGUUAGUCAGAAAGGGUACAGCCUUCCUGACAAGAGACACAACUUUUACAGGUGACACAAGAUCAUA